UAGGGGGCAAGCGUUGUCCGGAAUCAUUGGGCGUAAAGCGCGUGUAGGCGGCCCGGUAAGUCCGCUGUGAAAGUCCAGGGCUCAACCCUGGGAUGCCGGUGGAUACUGUCGGGCUCGAGUCCGGAAGAGGCGAGUGGAAUUCCUGGUGUAGCGGUGAAAUGCGCAGAUAUCAGGAGGAACACCAAUGGCGAAGGCAGCUCGCUGGGACGUGACUGACGCUGAGACGCGAAAGCGUGGGGAGCAAACAGG
rnacentral:rRNA from 1 species